rnacentral:rRNA from 1 species
GUCUACGGCCAUACCACCCUGAACGCACCCGAUCUCGUCUGAUCUCGGAAGCUAAGCAGGGUCGGGCCUGGUUAGUACUUGGAUGGGAGAAGUAGUGCCUGUUCUCA